UACGAAGGGGGCAAGCGUUGUUCGGAAUCACUGGGCGUAAAGGGCGCGUAGGCGGACGUUUAAGUCAGAGGUGAAAUCCCGGGGCUCAACCCCGGAACUGCCUUUGAUACUGGACGUCUUGAGACCGGAAGAGGUAAGUGGAACUGCGAGUGUAGAGGUGAAAUUCGUAGAUAUUCGCAAGAACACCAGUGGCGAAGGCGGCUUACUGGUCCGGUUCUGACGCUGAGGCGCGAAAGCGUGGGGAGCAAACAGG
rnacentral:rRNA from 2 species